UACAGAGACUGCAAGCGUUAUUCGGAUUCACUGGGCGUAAAGGGUGCGCAGGCGGCCAAGUGUGUCAGAUGUGAAAUCCCGAGGCUUAACCUCGGAACUGCGUCUGAAACUACUCGGCUAGAGUAUUGGAGAGGGUAACGGAAUUCACGGUGUAGCAGUGAAAUGCGUAGAUAUCGUGAGGAACACCAGAGGCGAAGGCGGUUACCUGGACAAUUACUGACGCUCAGGCACGAAAGCGUGGGGAGCAAAAGGG
rnacentral:rRNA from 1 species